CAUAUCAAUAAGCGGAGGAAAAGAAACUAACAAGGAUUCCCCUAGUAACUGCGAGUGAAGCGGGAAAAGCUCAAAUUUAAAAUCUGGCAGUCUUUGGCUGUCCGAGUUGUAAUCUAGAGAAGUGUUAUCCACGCUGGACCGUGUACAAGUCUCCUGGAAUGGAGCGUCAUAGAGGGUGAGAAUCCCGUCUUUGACACGGACUGCCAGGGUUUUGUGAUGCGCUCUCAAAGAGUCGAGUUGUUUGGGAAUGCAGCUCAAAAUGGGUGGUAAAUUCCAUCUAAAGCUAAAUAUUGGCGAGAGACCGAUAGCGAACAAGUACCGUGAGGGAAAGAUGAAAAGAACUUUGGAAAGAGAGUUAAACAGUACGUGAAAUUGCUGAAAGGGAAACGCUUGAAGUCAGUCGCGUUGUCCAGGGAUCAACCUUGCUUUUGCUUGGUGCACUUUCUGGUUAACGGGUCAGCAUCAAUUUUGAUCAUUGGAAAAAAGUUGGGGGAAUGUGGCAUCUUCGGAUGUGUUAUAGCCCUUGGUUGUAUACAAUGGUUGGGAUUGAGGAACUCAGCACGCCGCAAGGCCGGGUUUUUAACCACGUACGUGCUUAGGAUGCUGGCAUAAUGGCUUUAAUCGACCCGUCUUGAAACACGGACCAAGGAGUCUAACAUACCUGCGAGUGUUUGGGUGGUAAACCCGAGCGCGUAAUGAAAGUGAAAGUUGAGAUCCCUGUCGCGGGGAGCAUCGACGCCCGGACCAGACCUUUUGUGACGGUUCUGCGGUAGAGCAUGUAUGUUGGGACCCGAAAGAUGGUGAACUAUGCCUGAAUAGGGUGAAGCCAGAGGAAACUCUGGUGGAGGCUCGUAGCGAUUCUGACGUGCAAAUCGAUCGUCAAAUUUGGGUAUAGGGGCGAAAG
rnacentral:rRNA from 1 species